rnacentral:rRNA from 1 species
GACGAACGCUGGCGGCGUGCUUAACACAUGCAAGUCGAACGGAAAGGCCCUGCUUUUGUGGGGUGCUCGAGUGGCGAACGGGUGUGUAACACGUGAGUAACCUGCCCUUGACUUUGGGAUAACUUCAGGAAACUGGGGCUAAUACCGGGUAGGAGCUCCUGCUGCAUGGUGGGGGUUGGAAAGUUUCGGCGGUUGGGGAUGGACUCGCGGCUUAUCAGCUUGUUGGUGGGGUAGUGGCUUACCAAGGCUUUGACGGGUAGCCGGCCUGAGAGGGUGACCGGCCACAUUGGGACUGAGAUACGGCCCAGACUCCUACGGGAGGCAGCAGUGGGGAAUAUUGCACAAUGGGCGGAAGCCUGAGGCAGCAACGCCGCGUGCGUGAUGACGGCCUUCGGGUUGUAAACCGCUUUCGCCUGUGACGAAGCGUGAGUGACGGUAAUGGGUAAAGAAGCACCGGCUAACUACGUG